rnacentral:lncRNA from 1 species
UCCUCUAGUUCUGCUUCAAAAGUAUGAAGCAAGCACUAGCAGGAUACUAAUUUACAAACUACCUGGUUAACCAAAAUACAAAAGCAGCUGACUAUGUGUGAUUUCAUGAUAGCACAUUGUUUCUUGACACUCUGGUGCCAAGAAUGAUGAUUUGGAUUUUCCUAACAACUUCUAUCAAGAGUGUAGUAGCUCAAAAUGAGAAUUUAGGAGAACCUGAAUCCAUGAAUUAAAGAAAUAAAUGUGAUUCACAUUUCUGUUACUGUGACACAAUAAUGUGAUCCUAAAACUGGCUUAUUCUUGUGUGUUUACAACUCGAAUGACUUUUUAAUGCAGUAGUUUAAAGAGAAAACAAACAUUUACGUCAAAUUAUUUCCUUAGAAGUAGUCUUCAUUAUUAUAAAUUUGUACACCAAAAAGCCAUGGGGUACUUUGUGCAAGUACCUCAUUGCUGAGCAAAUGGAGCUUGCUAUGUUUGAAUUUCAGAAAAUUUUUCAUUUAAGUAGUGUGUAGAAUCAAGUCUUUUAAGAAUUCAUUUUUUUCUUCAUAAUAUUUACUCAAAGUUAAGAUUCAAAAAUAAGUUUUAUCUUAAAAUCGUAUUUUAAGGCAUUAAGACAGUAAACUAUUUUAGGAAGUCAACUCCCAUUGUGCUUUGUGGCUGUUAUUCUAGUAAACAGAGACCAUAGUGAACUGAAUCUACAGAGAUGCCCCAAAGUAAACAGGAAAAAUUACAGAUGUGUAACUGAGCUUUAAAGGAUGAGGUGUUAAUAAAGAAAGGAAGCUGAGUACAUAUCACGAAAGGAGAUUGAAAUGUUGAGUAGCCAAAUAGAAAGGACUGAAAAUAUUUAAAGUGGUUCAUAGGUAAUGAGUAUUUCCAAUUUUGAUGUUAUUCCAUCUGGAAUUUUUAUAUCCUUUGCCAGCUGAAACGAAGUGAAGAGACAAUUAAAUUUCAUAGUCAGUGCACAGUAAUAGAAGGUAUAUCUACACCUUGCUUUGUAGAUCAAGCACCUGAAGCAAUGGAGGGGGAAUCCUGACCAGCCAAUUCCCCUAGCCCUGUGAUUGAAAUCAUGAAAGUUCUAGCAGCUUGUGAGUAGCACUGGGACAAAAUACAGUUUUAUUUUAGUGUACUUUAGUUUUUUCACUAAAGCCUUUGUCCAAAAUAAAAGGCAGUGUUGGAAAUAUUUGAAAACUAGAAAAUGAUGUAUGAAAAGGGCUGACAAGAAAAGCUCUGAGUGAUCAUGUCUGUUGAAGUGAGCUCAGAGCCUCAGAGGAAAUAGUAAGAAAGGGUAAUCAUUUAUAUAGUAAAAUAGGCAAAGCAGAAAUCAUACAUGUGCAUAUACACGCAUGUACACAUACAUACAAACCAGUAGAAUGCAUAAUUUUUAAUAUUUUUAAUAUUUUAGUGCUACCAGUUUCUAGAGAAAAUAAUCAGUAGAUAUUUUCUGCCAGAACUCAUUUAAUUGAAAUAGUAUUCAUAAAACUAGGAAUAAUGCCACAUACAUUCAAUGGGAUCUUUUAAAUACUCCAAUUAUUUUUUAAA